UACGGAGGGUGCAAGCGUUAAUCGGAAUUACUGGGCGUAACGCGUGCGCAGGCGGUUUGUUAAGUCUGUUGUGAAAUCCCCGAGCUCAACUUGGGAAUUGCAAUGGAUACUGGCAGGCUGGAGUAUGGUAGAGGAAGGUGGAAUUCCCGGUGUAGCAGUGAAAUGCGUAGAGAUCGGGAGGAACACCAGUGGCGAAGGCGGCCUUCUGGACCAAUACUGACGCUCAUGCACGAAAGCGUGGGGAGCAAACAGG
rnacentral:rRNA from 1 species